GACGAGGGGUCCUAGCGUUGUUCGGAAUCACUGGGCGUAAAGAGUUCGUAGGCGGCUCCAUAAGUCGGGUGUGAAAUCCCACGGCUCAACCGUGGAAGUGCAUUCGAAACUGCGGAGCUUGAAUAUGGUAGAGGAGAGUAGAAUUGCUGGUGUAGUGGUGAAAUACGUAGAUAUCAGCAGGAAUACCGGUGGCGAAGGCGGCUCUCUGGACCAAUAUUGACGCUGAGGAACGAAAGUGCGGGGAUCAAACAGG
rnacentral:rRNA from 1 species